rnacentral:rRNA from 1 species
ACGCUGGCGGCAGGCCUAACACAUGCAAGUCGAGCGGUAGCACAGGAGAGCUUGCUCUCUGGGUGACGAGCGGCGGACGGGUGAGUAAUGUCUGGGAAACUGCCUGAUGGAGGGGGAUAACUACUGGAAACGGUAGCUAAUACCGCAUGACCUCGCAAGAGCAAAGUGGGGGACCUUCGGGCCUCACGCCAUCGGAUGUGCCCAGAUGGGAUUAGCUAGUAGGUGGGGUAAUGGCUCACCUAGGCGACGAUCCCUAGCUGGUCUGAGAGGAUGACCAGCCACACUGGAACUGAGACACGGUCCAGACUCCUACGGGAGGCAGCAGUGGGGAAUAUUGCACAAUGGGCGCAAGCCUGAUGCAGCCAUGCCGCGUGUGUGAAGAAGGCCUUAGGGUUGUAAAGCACUUUCAGCGAGGAGGAAGGCGUUGCAGUUAAUAGCUGCAGCGAUUGACGUUACUCGCAGAAGAAGCACCGGCUAACUCCGUGCCAGCAGCCGCGGUAAUACGGAGGGUGCAAGCGUUAAUCGGAAUUACUGGGCGUAAAGCGCACGCAGGCGGUUUGUUAAGUCAGAUGUGAAAUCCCCGAGCUUAACUUGGGAACUGCAUUUGAAACUGGCAAGCUAGAGUCUUGUAGAGGGGGGUAGAAUUCCAGGUGUAGCGGUGAAAUGCGUAGAGAUCCGGAGGAAUACCGGUGGCGAAGGCGGCCCCCUGGACAAAGACUGACGCUCAGGUGCGAAAGCGUGGGGAGCAAAC